UAUGAAGAAAAAAUAUAUUUUUACUUAUUAAUUAAUAAAAUUAAUUUUGUAAGAAAUAAUAAUUAGAGAAAAGUCCAUUAUUCUUGCAGACUCAAAUGUUUUCUAUGAAAAUCUCGACAUCAUUGAAGGGAAGGUAUUAUUUUUUUUUAACGGCAAAUAUAUUAUUAUUAAAAAUCAGGUCUCUGCUCAAGACGAACAUAGACCGGUAAAAGAGGGCUACAAAACAAAGGUGCCGUAUAUAAGCGGAACACCGAUGAAAAUACUAAAACAGACAUCACCUAAUAAAUGUCCACUCUAAUCUCAUUCUUAGAAUGACACUCCUCCGGAGUGUGAAAUAAUCCAAAGAGGCUUCACCUCCCAAGUCACAUUUGAAAGUGAUUCAAAAGGAGUGGUUGAUGCAAUUCUUUUUCUAGGAAUGUUGGAGUCUCUGACUUUUGUUCUAUAAUUUUUAGUAUUCAAUCAUUGUUAUUAUUAUAUCCUAACUUUGAGGUAAAGUUUGUCAAACGACAAGCAAAUAGUGUUGCCCACACCUUAGCCAAAAGCGGCAUAUUCUAAGACUAGUCGUUAUAUUUAUGAUUUAAUACCUCCUUCUAUUCACAAUAUUUUGAAUAAUGAAAUGCAUUAAGUUUCUCUUUGUAAAAAAAAAAAUUAGAUAAAAAAUUUACCUCUAACUAUUCAUUUAAUUUAAAAAUUUAGAUAAAAGAUUUAGCUCUAACUAUUCAUUUCAUUAAAGUGUUUCACUUUUCAAUCUAGAUAAAAAAUUUGCACCAAUAUUUCAAAGUUUAUAAAAAAUGUCACACAACUUAACACAAUUUUUUUUUUGUUUUCAUCCUCUGGUUCCUAGGGGAAGGGGGCCCUAGUAGUUCAGAGUUUGGGGCGAGUUCUGACAUCAAGUGGUUUCAGUCCUCUCACAAAUGUACUUAACACAAUUUUCUUUCAAUGAUAACUUGCUGAUAGUUAAAGCUAUUGAAAUCAAUAGGCACACAACAUAAUUUUCAAUCAUGGUUUUGGAAGAAGACAAUUUUCUGUGAUUGUUAAUCUCUCAAUUUUGUAAGAAUAGUUAGAGCUAUAUUGAAAUCAAUUGUUUUUUUUAACGAAUUGAAAUCAAUUUUUUGGAAGAGAAAAAAUGGUGAAAAAAAUGAACUCAACACUCAUUUUAGUAGUACACACAUGCAUAGAGUACAGUACAAAUACUUAAGAAAUCCAAACAAAAUUGAGCUAAUAAAGGCUUUUUUGUAAUAUUGAAAAGAAAAACAAGUAACAAAUAAAAAUCUACUUUUUUUUUUUUU
rnacentral:lncRNA from 1 species